rnacentral:rRNA from 1 species
UACGUAGGGGGCUAGCGUUGUUCGGAAUUACUGGGCGUAAAGCGCACGUAGGCGGAUUUGUAAGUCAGGGGUGAAAUCCCGGGGCUCAACCUCGGAACUGCCUUUGAUACUGCAAGUCUCGAGUCCGAUAGAGGUGAGUGGAAUUCCUAGUGUAGAGGUGAAAUUCGUAGAUAUUCGGAAGAACACCAGUGGCGAAGGCGGCUCACUGGACUGGUAUUGACGCUGAGGUGCGAAAGCGUGGGGAGCAAACAGG